CCUACGUGGUGCAGCAGUGGGGAAUAUUGCACAAUGGGGGAAACCCUGAUGCAGCGACGCCGCGUGAGUGAAGAAGUAUUUCGGUACGGAAAACUCUAUCAGCAGGGAAGAAAAUUACGGUACCUGCCUAAGAAGCCCCGGCUAACUACGCGCCAGCAGCCGCGGUAAUACGUAAGGGGCAAGCGUUAUCCGGAUUUACUGGGUGUAAAGGGAGCGUAGACGGCAGCGCAAGUCUGAAGUGAAAUCCCAUGGCUUAACCAUGGAACUGCGUUGGAAACUGUGCAGCUGGAGUGCAGGAGAGGUAAGCGGAAUUCCUAGUGUAGCGGUGAAAUGCGUAGAUAGUAGGAGGAACACCAGUGGCGAAGGCGGCUUACUGGACUGUAACUGACGUUGAGGCUCGAAAGCGUGGGGAGCAAACAGGAUUAGAUACCCGUGUAGUC
rnacentral:rRNA from 1 species